rnacentral:misc_RNA from 1 species
GUCAAGGUCUCUACUUCGUAAACUACUACCCUGAAAUGUAUCUUAUUAAGGCUCUAAUCACAUGGUUAAAAGGUUAAAAAUGCCAAAAAAAAAUGAAAAGAAAAAUUACAAGAUAAACAAAGUUAAUAAAAAUAUAAAAGUUUUUUAGUAUAAAUACAACCCUCUCAGGAGUCAGGACAGGGUAUGACAAAUUCACUCCGCAUGCCAUCCCAAGUUCUUCAAUUGUUACACAGGCAGACCCAAUAAGAAAUUUCGGCAGAUAUGAGAUUAACAGAUCCUAAAACUGUAAAAGGUAAGCUUUCAUAAAUAUAGACUACAAGCUAUGCAAAACAACUCCUAUUGCUAAUUGGUUAGGUAAGCUCCUGCAAUGUGUCUUUAAACAGGGUAGCUAGGUCCUAGUGACCACUCUCUGCAAGCUCUGCUUGUCCACUCUUUUGUGUAUUAUUGCUCAAAUGUUGUUCAUCCCUGCCAGACCUAAACUCUUCAUGCCCACCGAAUUCCCCAAGUCUCUCCUGCAAUAAUAAAUCACCAAAAUUGUAUCAUAGCGGAGAUUUUAUUGAAAGUAUGACUUUAUUAAUUCUAUACAUUUCUGUUUUAUAAUGCAUUAAAAUGGGGAUAUUGCCUUUAUGUGCAGCACUUCUGUUGUCCAAGAAGACUUGCUUUGUUGUGGUGUCUUGAGUGCCUUUUGUGAAGAUGAUCAUUUUCAAUCAACAGCCAAACCACACUAUAGUGUUAUAGUGCACAGUUUUUUCUUCUUAUUUUUAACUGUAAUGCAAAUAAAAAUAAAAAGCACCUUCAUUGCAAAUUAUUCCUAAUUGUUUUUCCCAACUUGAAUUUCUAAUAUAGUUCUGCACACCACUGGGUUGGCUCUCUUCCAAGUAAAAUUUUCCAAGGUGUGUAUUCAUAGUGACCUAAAUAAUCAUGAAUUUGAUGAUGGAAAUAUCUUACAAUCUGCUAACCACUUCUUCAUUGUAUGUCCAGCACAGGAUGGGUGGGUGAUGAGCAGUAAAGCGCCACCCCCCUCCCCCCAAACAAACAAAAAAAAAAGAAUCAAAAUUAAACAGAUCAAACCAGGAAGAGAACAUCACCUUGAGAGAUGCAUUUUCCGCAAGAAGUUGCUCGUAGUCGCUCUUGAUCCGGUUUACUUCUGAUCGCAGAUUGGCAUUUUCUUCUUUUAGGGCUUCAGC